GUUGUGGCGGCAGUCGACUGCGAAGCUAGAGAGACGGCGAUGAAGGACGCUCACCCGUGGCCGAGCAGAUGGUGCGGCGGGCCUCGGAAAUAGGCUACGACCGAGGAUGAUUGCCAAGUGAGAAACGAGAUGUUCAACCCGCUGAAAGCGGCAACUCGACGAUGAUGAAUACGACCACCGUCAUCGGCAACGGAACUGAAAAGACGGACGAACAAUCAACGAAGGAAGAGCAAAUUGAAACCACGACUGUUAUACGCAAUAGAUACAGAGUGACCAAUAACACAUAUCGCUGCCGCUUAAUCUGCGGAGAUUGGUUGACCGACAUGUGCUACAAUGGAUGCGUGUGCCUCACAAGAAGGGGUGACGAGCCUUUUAUGUGCGUUGAGGAUAGUUAUGCAGCAUACUUCAGAGGAGGGUCACGAUACGCAUAACCCGCCUCUGAUGACAUCACAGCAUGCGUUUUUUACUUGAAACAGAGGCAUGUAAUACUACUCAAUAAACAUUUCUGUCAUUUGACACCCACGACAAAUAACAUGCU